UACGGUGGGGGCAAGCGUCGUUCGGAAUUACUGGGCGUAAAGGGCUUGUAGGUGGCCAACUAAGUCAGACGUGAAAUCCCACGGCUUAACCGGGGAACUGCGUCUGAUACUGGAUGGCUUGAGUGUGGGAGAGGGAUGCGGAAUUCCCGGUGUAGCGGUGAAAUGCGUAGAGAUCGGGAGGAAUACCUAUGGCGAAAGCAGGCUUCUGGGCCGUCACUGACGCUGAGCUGCGAAAGCUAGGGGAGCAAACAGG
rnacentral:rRNA from 1 species